rnacentral:rRNA from 1 species
ACACGUAGGGGGCAAGCGUUGUCCGGAUUUAUUGGGCCUAAAGCAUCCGUAGCCGGCUCUGUAAGUUUUCGGUUAAAUCUGUACGCUUAACGUACAGGCUGCUGGGAAUACUGCAGAGCUAGGGAGUGGGAGAGGUAGACGGUACUCGGGAGGAAGUGGUAAAAUGCUUUGAUCUCUCGAUGACCACCUGUGGCGAAGGCGGUCUACCAGAACACGUCCAACGGUGAGGGAUGAAAGCUGGGGGAGCAAACCGGAUUAGAAACCCGGGUAGUCC